CGAGAUAUGUAACAUAUUAAUAAUUAUUUAAUUAUGCGCCCAAAUCUUCAUUUAUUGUUGCAUUUCAACCCCAUACGGAUUUGGAACACUAGAAACUCCAGAUGCGCCUGCAUAAAGUUGAUAAGUAAAAUUUGGCUGAUAAUUGUUGACAGUUUGAUUCUUUUCAAUGCUCAUAUCAUCUAGUGGAGUUUCCUUUGGUAAAACGUCUGCAUUGAUAUCUCUUGAAAAUAGCAAAGGUGAGUUUGAUUCUAGAAGGGGUUCAAAUUGAAAUGCCCAAGUACAUGUGACAAUAAGAGCGGCUGCAAAGAAAAGGAUAAAGAAGCUACCAAAACCUGUGAAAAGCAUCAUUAGUUCAGAGAUUCCAGCCAAUGUAAAUAAAGUUAACAUCCAAUAAGCAUACUGCUCACCAACUCCAACGUCCGCAUAUGACUCUACAUAAAAGAAGCUAAUACCGUACAUUAUUAAGCUAACUGCCUCACAAACAAUUCCAAAAUUGUACAAACACCAGUCGCCCUUUGUUUGGCUAAAUUUUCCAUACCAUUUCUGAUUGAAAUAGCUGUAUGUAAACGAAAAUUGUGUAACUCUAAGUGCAACCACGAUAAUCUGAAUAAUAUUUGCUGUGUUUAGUAGUCUCGAGCCUGCUCUAAAUCCCAAAGGAGCUUUUGAGUUAUCUGCGAUAAAUUCUUGGAAUCCUGCUAAGAACAAAACACCAAUAAAAUAUACGCAUAGCAUCGAAACAACUCCUGCAUAAUAACUCAAAUCCUCAGCUAAAGUACCGCCAUUGCCAUAUAGGUCAAACGUAAAUAAUCCUUUAUUGCCAAAUACAUUAUAUAGGAUAAUCAAUACAAGUAAGCUUGCGCAUUGCAAUAACGUCCCAGUCCUGAGAGUAAUACAAGAGAAAUUCGAUAUAAGUGGGGUAAUCUCUUCACCUCUUUCAUUUAAGGCUUCAUCGUCCAUUAUUCCAUCGUUUAUUACCUGCAUGCCAUUAGUUGCAGACAUAUUAAAUUGAUUAGUAGAGGACUUGUUUGGACCUCUACUUUGAUAGAGCAUAGGCUCCUCUCCAGAAUAUGGUUGAGAAUACAUUUUAUUAUUCUUAUCACUUAGCUUUAUGAGUGCUUGUUUAUGACUUCCGAAAUCAAGAUUAGUUCUGGAAAAAAAAAAAAAAAUCGCGCUAAGCCAAUAGAAUCUAACUUGCCUCCUGUGCGUUUAAUAUUUAGUUCUUAAGAAUAAUCUCUUGCAAUAAUUUUGUGUGUAU
rnacentral:antisense_RNA from 1 species